CCCUUAGAUGUCCUGGGCUGCACGCGCGCUACACUGAUGUGUCCAGUAAGCACCUAACCUCUUCCGAAAGGAACGGGUAACCUUUGCAAAGCACAUCGUGAUGGGGAUAGAUUAUUGCAAUUAUUAGUCUUUAACGAGGAAUUCCUAGUAAGCACAAGUCAUCAGCUUGUGUUGAUUACGUCCCUGCCCUUUGUACACACCGCCCGUCGCUCCUACCGAUUGAAUGUUCCGGUGAGCUCUUCGGACUGCGCGGUCUGCAGUUUCUGCGUUCCGUGCGGAAAGUUGCGCAAACCUUAACAUUUAGAGGAAGGAGAAGUCGUAACA
rnacentral:rRNA from 1 species